UACGUAGGGUGCGAGCGUUAAUCGGAAUUACUGGGCGUAAAGCGUGCGCAGGCGGUUAUUUAAGUCAGGUGUGAAAGCCCUGGGCUUAACCUAGGAAUUGCGCUUGAGACUGGAUAGCUUGGAGUGCGGCAGAGGGAGGUGGAAUUCCACGUGUAGCAGUGAAAUGCGUAGAGAUGUGGAGGAACACCGAUGGCGAAGGCGGUUCUCUGGGCAUGAUCUGACGCUGAGGAGCGAAAGUGUGGGGAGCGAACAGG
rnacentral:rRNA from 1 species